rnacentral:rRNA from 1 species
UACAGAGGGUGCGAGCGUUGUUCGGAAUUACUGGGCGUAAAGGGCGCGUAGGCGGCCUUCUAAGUCGGACGUGAAAGCCCCAGGCUUAACCUGGGAACUGCGUCCGAUACUGGGAGGCUUGGAUUCGGGAGAGGGAUGUGGAAUUCCAGGUGUAGCGGUGAAAUGCGUAGAUAUCUGGAGGAACACCGGUGGCGAAGGCGGCAUCCUGGACCGAGAUCGACGCUGAGGCGCGAAAGCUAGGGGAGCAAACGGG